rnacentral:rRNA from 1 species
CUACGGGCGGCAGCAGUGGGGAAUAUUGGACAAUGGGCGAAAGCCUGAUCCAGCCAUGCCGCGUGUGUGAAGAAGGCCUUCGGGUUGUAAAGCACUUUCAGUGGGGAAGAAAGCCUUGGGGCUAAUACCCUCGAGGAAGGACAUCACCCACAGAAGAAGCACCGGCUAACUCCGUGCCAGCAGCCGCGGUAAUACGGAGGGUGCGAGCGUUAAUCGGAAUUACUGGGCGUAAAGCGCGCGUAGGCGGUCUGAUAAGCCGGUUGUGAAAGCCCCGGGCUCAACCUGGGAACGGCAUCCGGAACUGUCAGGCUAGAGUGCAGGAGAGGAAGGUAGAAUUCCCGGUGUAGCGGUGAAAUGCGUAGAGAUCGGGAGGAAUACCAGUGGCGAAGGCGGCCUUCUGGACUGACACUGACGCUGAGGUGCGAAAGCGUGGGUAGCAAACAGGAUUAGAUACCCCUGUAGUC